AAAAGAAAAAUACAGAAGGAUAAUAAAGUAACUUCAUUAGUUCUUUUACUGUUGAAGUAGUCAACAAUUCUUUCACCUAAAUUUUCAGUCUUCUGAGCAUAUCGAGUGAUAUUUUCCUUCUUAAUAAU
rnacentral:sRNA from 1 species